GACGAACGCUGGCGGCGUGCUUAACACAUGCAAGUCGAACGGAAAGGCCCUGCUUUUGUGGGGUGCUCGAGUGGCGAACGAGUGAGUAACACGUGAGUAACCUGCCCUUGACUUUGGGAUAACUUCAGGAAACUGGGGCUAAUACCGGAUAGGAGCUCCUGCUGCAUGGUGGGGGUUGGAAAGUUUCGGUGGUUGGGGAUGGACUCGCGGCUUAUCAGCUUGUUGGUGGGGUAGUGGCUUACCAAGGCUUUGACGGGUAGCCGGCCUGAGAGGGUGACCGGCCACAUUGGGACUGAGAUACGGCCCAGACUCCUACGGGAGGCAGCAGUGGGGAAUAUUGCACAAUGGACGGAAGCCUGAUGCAGCAACGCCGCGUGCGGGAUGACGGCCUUCGGGUUGUAAACCGCUUUCGCCUGUGACGAAGCGUGAGUGACGGUAAUGGGUAAAGAAGCACCGGCUAACUACGUG
rnacentral:rRNA from 1 species